rnacentral:rRNA from 1 species
ACCCGCUGAACUUAAGCAUAUCAAUAAGCGGAGGAAAAGAAACCAACAGGGAUUGUCUUAGUAACGGCGAGUGAAGCGACAAAAGCUCAAAUUUGAAAUCUGGCACCUUCGGUGUCCGAGUUGUAAUUUGAAGAAGGUAACUUUGGAGUUGGCUCUUGUCUAUGUUCCUUGGAACAGGACGUCACAGAGGGUGAGAAUCCCGUGCGAUGAGAUGUCCAACUCUAUGUAAAGUGCUUUCGAAGAGUCGAGUUGUUUGGGAAUGCAGCUCUAAGUGGGUGGUAAAUUCCAUCUAAAGCUAAAUAUUGGCGAGAGACCGAUAGCGAACAAGUACAGUGAUGGAAAGAUGAAAAGAACUUUGAAAAGAGAGUGAAAAAGUACGUGAAAUUGUUGAAAGGGAAGGGUUUGAGAUCAGACUUGGUAUUUUGUAUGUCUUGCUUUCGGGUGGGGCCUCUGCAGUUUACUGGGCCAGCAUCGGUUUGGACGGUAGGAUAAUGACAUUGGAAUGUGGCACUACUUCGGUGGUGUGUUAUAGACUUUGUUGAUACUGCCUGUCUAGACCGAGGACUG